rnacentral:misc_RNA from 1 species
CGCACCUUGCACCUUCUGGUAUUCCGGAAGGUACACCUGUUUGAGUGUCAUUAAAUAAUCAAUCCAUCCGUCCUUGCUCGCGAGGUCUGGUUGGCUUGGAUGUGGAGGUUGCGGGCUGCCUUCAGUGGCUUGGUCGGCUCCUCUCAAAUGCAUUAGCUUCGGGACAAAGUAGCUUGUUCUGACAAUGCCUCCUGGUGUGAUAGAUAUCUACGCCGUUGGCUAGGAAUUUGGUGAAGGUCUUAGCUUCUAAUUGUCUUGCUUGGCGAGACUAGCUUCUUGUUAAGCUACUGAUUAAUGACUUGUGACCUCAAAUCAGGUGGGACUACCCGCUGAACUUAA